GAAAGCAUCCACAUACAAAGCUUAGGGUUUUCUAGAGAGUUCAUCUGCUAUAAUUUCACACACACACACACAAUUCAUCAAAAAAUAAGAAUGCAAAACAGAGAUUGAAGUAAGAGAGAUGCAAAAAAAAAUUAUCAAGGUUCAGCUCGGAAUUUCCAAGCCUGCAUCCUUGUGAGCUCUCCUUAGAAGAGAUGAAGAACUUCUUGCACUAUUUGAAGCUCAGUUACAAUGAUCUUGAAGGUUCUAUCCACAAUCUUGGCCAGAUGGAGGGUCAUUUAAUGCAUGCAUUUCCAAUCGAACAAAUCAAGAAAGGAGUGUUGGGGUGGUUGAUCUGAGCCUAAUAAAAUUUGGAUGCAGAAGUUCAAAACAAGCUAGUCAAGAUAUACCUUAUGCUCUUUGUAGUUCAGUCCAGCCAGUGAUGAAGCUUGGCAUUUUUUUAAGAGGCAGCCUGUUGGCAUAAUCUUUUUUGCUGCUAUCAUGACUACACUAGGUGAGACAAAAACAUGCAUGGAUGGAAAAAUUAUUGAAAUUAACAUCAAGCAUGGUGGGAUGAAGAUAUAUGUAAUGUCCCAACUAUUCUAGACUUUGGACCAUUAACAACAACUAUACAUAGACACUAAUUUUUAAUAAAACUUACAAGUGAAAUAAUCAUUACUUCAUUAAAAACUUGUAAAAACAAAUGUUAAACUACAUAAGAUUUAAAGUAGGAUAUGUGAUCCAAUUGUUUUAAAAGAAAAACAUAACAUAAUUGUAAAUAAAAUUGAUUACAUAAUAAAGUGCGGAAAAAUACAUAUAAAACCAUAAGUAAAGAAACUUCAUCCUCGAAUCGAACUCUCGGUCCUUUGAUUCUAUUCCGCCUCAAUACACAUCUCCAAACUUCCAAGAACCUUUCCCGCCACCAAAGCUAUUUUCCUACACAUAUAAACAUAAAUGAGUGAGCCUAAUGCCCAACAAGGAAAACCUAACACGUAAACCAUAUACAUAAAAUUCAUAAAGCAACAUAAAACAUAUUAUAAAUAUAUGUCAUAUAUACUAUAAUGGCCAUUAUUACUUGGGGUCCCAUAAACUAAACAAGUCAUAUGCCCAUUAGAUUAGUGGGGCUUGCUAGCUAAGCAAGUCAUAUGUCCAUAAUUUAUUGGGGCUUGUUAGUUGUACAGGUCAUAUGCCCAAGUCUACAAUCAUAUAUAUUAUUGCAUGUUACAUAACACAUAAUCAUAAGAUAACAUUUAUCAUAACAUAUAAAUCAUAUAACAUAACACAUAAAAUCAUAUCCUAUUUUUCUUACCAAAAGUACCGGGAUAUGAGAACAGUUGGGACUUUGGAACACUCCUAAAAACCAUAAAUGGAAGAGUGAGUAUACUAAAGAGAAUGAGAUGAAAAGAAUGGAGGAACUAUACCAUCAAGAACAUACUUACCAAAAACCUUAUGUUCAAGAUCUUAGGUUUCCUAACCAAGAAUAAAUAAUAGAGUUAGGAUGUUGAGUAGAAAACUAUAAGAAUUUUAAGGAAAACAAUACAGAAAUGGACUAGAGUUUUGGAAUACUUUGAAGACUUAUAUGACCGAUCUAAACCUUGAACCGAAAUGAGCUAUAAACCUUACUUCCCAAGUGUUUGGUAAGCUUAUAAUGAUCAAGCUUAUAAUCCUCAACCCAAGUGUUUACACUCUCACAAUAACCUAGCAAUUUGCAGCCUCUGAACUUAGCUUGAUGAAUGAAUAAAUGACUGGGUACUAGGUCCUAUUUAUAGAGUUCAAGAAUGAAAAGAUCUUCAUUUAACUUGAAUAAAAAUAAUGGCGUUUUAAGUGAAAAAUAUUUGAAUUAUCGUUCAGCAGAGGUUGAAGACUCGUUCAGAAAGAUGUUGGACUUAUCAAGAGGUUAAGGAUUUAAAUGAGAACGUUUUUGAAAACUUUCAAAAAUACACUGAAGGAGUCGAUAUAUCGCCCCUUGUAGGCGAUAUAUCGCCCGGGCCAGCAUGCCCGAGGCUCAUCGAGGUGCUCGUGCGAAGUUACAUGUUUUUCGUAUCCCCGUACUGCGAUAUAUCGCCCCCUAUAGCUGCGAUAUAUCGGCAUACGCUGAAUAUUUAAACACGAAAUUUCACAUUUUAAGCUUAAUUUGAAUUGAGUAAGCAGCCUUGACUAAGUCCUCUAACGUUUUCAAAGCUGCUGACAGACCCUAGGAUAUUCAUAUAUUACUCUUAAUAAACUUGUUCCUCAAAAUUACUUAAUUAUCAUUAAACAUACAUAUGACAAGUGUUACUUUCUUAUUGGGUUUAUCUAAACCUUAUGAUAUAAUAAAUAUCACCAUCAAUAUCAGUCAUAUUAAUAGAACCUUAGGUUAAAAUUAAUAUUCUUAAACUAUUGGUUAAACUUAUAAAAUCUACAAGUGUUACUACGAGUGUCCAAAUAAAUCCCGGCCUGAACCAAAAUCCACAGUUAUAAAAAUACUACUACUAUUACUAUUAUACUAUUAUCUAUCUAGCUAAGUAAAGUUCUUGGACUCUACAAUAUACACUUGAGAAAUUUAUGGGAUGCCAUGCUAUUUGAACGUAUGAGUCACAACUAGGAUAAAUGUAUUAUCAAUUGUUGUAUAAAAAAUGAAACUAAGUGUAAAUGUGUAGUUUUUAGUUGUACUUGAUAAAGACAAAUAUAUUUUUCAACAUGUAAUUUUAUUUUUGAAAUUCUGUUGAUUUUUUCUAGUAUACUUUAUUAGUGGUACUAAAAGGAAAUUUUGGGUGUAUAUGCUAGCCUUAAGAAGGAAAAUAUUUUUUUUUCAAUUUUUUGUCUAAGUGGCGACGGUUCCUACAAAACAGUUGUCUCGUGUACAUUUGGGACGACGCUUGGCUACAAACUCUCAUCUCUUCUACCAUAUGGGACGACGCUUCCACAAAAUUUGUCAGUCUUAUGUACAACAAGGGAUGAUAUUUGUAUAUAAAUUGUCUUCUCAUGUAAUGUAAGGAUGACACUUUUAUUUUAACUGUCAUCUCGUGCUAGUACAUGAUACGAUAGUAUUAGAACUGAUAUAUGAAUGUUAUUACAAAAA